rnacentral:tRNA from 1 species
GUGUCCGUAGCUCAGUAGGAUAGAGCAUCAGAUUCCUAAUCUGGGGGUCGUGAGUUCGAAUCUCGCCGGGCACGCCA